rnacentral:rRNA from 1 species
UACGGGGGGGGCAAGCGUUGUUCGGAAUUACUGGGCGUAAAGGGCUCGUAGGCGGCCAACUAAGUCAGACGUGAAAUCCCUCGGCUUAACCGGGGAACUGCGUCUGAUACUGGAUGGCUUGAGAUUGGGAGAGGGAUGCGGAAUUCCAGGUGUAGCGGUGAAAUGCGUAGAUAUCUGGAGGAACACCGGUGGCGAAGGCGGCAUCCUGGACCAACAUUGACGCUGAGGGGCGAAAGUGUGGGGAGCGAACAGG